rnacentral:rRNA from 1 species
UCGGGAGGGCCAGGAGUAGGGAAUCUUCCGCAAUGGACGAAAGUCUGACGGAGCAACGCCGCGUGAGUGAUGAAGGUUUUCGGAUCGUAAAGCUCUGUUGUUAGGGAAGAACAAGUACCGUUCGAAUAGGGCGGUACCUUGACGGUACCUAACCAGAAAGCCACGGCUAACUACGUGCCAGCAGCCGCGGUAAUACGUAGGUGGCAAGCGUUGUCCGGAAUUAUUGGGCGUAAAGGGCUCGCAGGCGGUUUCUUAAGUCUGAUGUGAAAGCCCCCGGCUCAACCGGGGAGGGUCAUUGGAAACUGGGGAACUUGAGUGCAGAAGAGGAGAGUGGAAUUCCACGUGUAGCGGUGAAAUGCGUAGAGAUGUGGAGGAACACCAGUGGCGAAGGCGACUCUCUGGUCUGUAACUGACGCUGAGGAGCGAAAGCGUGGGGAGCGAACAGGAUUAGAUACCCUGGUAGUCCACGCCGUAAACGAUGAGUGCUAAGUGAUAGGGGUUCCGCCCAUUACGACGACGGGGGA